CCAAUAGCGUAUAUUAAAGUUGCUGCAGUUAAAAAGCUCGUAGUUGAAUUUCGGGACCAUCAUGUCGGUCGUGCCUCGGUACGUACUGGCAUUGUUGGUUUCUACCUUCUGACGAACCAUGAUGUCAUUUAUUUGGUGUCGUGGGGAAUCAGGACUGUUACUUUGAAAAAAUUAGAGUGUUUAAAGCAGGCUCACGCUUGAAUACAUUAGCAUGGAAUAAUGAAAUAGGACGUUUGAUUCUAUUUUGUUGGUUUCUAGGAUCGACGUAAUGAUUAAUAGGGAUAGUUGGGGGCAUUAGUAUUCAAUUGUCAGAGGUGAAAUGCUUGGAUUUAUUGAAGACUGACUACUGCGAAAGCAUUUGCCAAGGAUGUUUUCAUUAAUCAAGAACGAAAGUUAGGGGAUCGAAGACGAUCAGAUACCGUCGUAGUCUUAACCAUAAACUAUGCCGACUAGGGAUCGGAUGAUGUUAAUUUUUUUAAUGACUCAUUCGGCGCCUUACG
rnacentral:rRNA from 1 species